UACGGAGGAUGCAAGCGUUAUCCGGAAUGAUUGGGCGUAAAGCGUGCGCAGGUGGCAAUGUAAGUCUGCUGUCAAAGCGUCUGGCUCAACCAGAUAAAGGCAGUGGAAACUACAUAGCUAGAGUAAGGUAGGGGUAGAGGGAAUUCCUGGUGUAGCGGUGAAAUGCGUAGAGAUCAGGAAGAACACCGGUGGCGAAAGCGCUCUGCUGGACCUUAACUGACACUGAGGGACGAAAGCUAGGGGAGCGAAUGGG
rnacentral:rRNA from 1 species